AUGGAGUUGUAUCUACAGGGCCAUGACCUAUGGGAGGUCAUUGCAGGCACCGAAACUACUCCUCUAGAGAGUGCAGAAGCCUUGUGGAAGUGGCGCAUCGAAGAAGGAAAUACUAUGUUCGGAUUAAAGACACCAAAGGUGGCUUGGGAUACUUUGGCAAAGUUGUUCUCAAGAAAGAAUGAGGUGCGACUACAGCUCUUAGAAAAUGAGCUCAUUGUAAAGAAUAUUUGUCAUGAGAUAUCCCAGCUUGAUCCUGAAGAGAAGAUAAGUGAGGCAAGGAUGAGAAGGAUCAUUAUCCAUGACCUACUACCAGAGUACGGGUUUAUGGCCGCAAUGAGAGGAUGGACUACACAACCAUCUUUGGUUGAGUUGGAGAAUUUGUUGGCUAAUCAGGAGGCGUUAGCUAAGGAGAUGGGCGGGAUCAUCUUGAAAGAGGCAGAUGAAGAGGAGGAGCUCUUUGUCAAAAGAAAGAAGAGUCCACUAAGAGGUCGAGAAGAUGUGAAGGAGAAGUGGAAAAUAAGUUAA
rnacentral:rRNA from 1 species